GGAAACAUAACGACCUGUGCUGACUAUGACCAUGAAAAAUAUGUUCCGACUGGGGUACCUCAACAAAUAAGAAUCCCGAUACAAAUCACCAUGAAAAAUCUAGUGACAAAUGAAAAUAAAACCGUCUACCAUGUAGAAUUGCAGUCUUAUAAUCAAACACAUUGGAUAUCGACAGAAUACAACACAACAGUUACUGUCUACAAUUGUUCCAAGUUGGGUGAGCUAGGCUGUAACUACUGACAGUCACUGAACACAAACAUGUAUGAAUGUGCAUGGGAC